AAAAAAAAAAAAAAACAGCUCAGCUCAGGGCCUGAGGGACAUUGAUGAUUAGCAAAUCCCUUGGUGUCAGUCAUGUUCAGGCAAACAGCAGCUUCAACCAAAAAAAUUAAUCUAAAAUCCCCAAUUAGGUGAAAAAAAAUUUUGGGUUUGUGUUUGUGUUUGUCUCCCUUUUUCGUUGUUGUGUUUGAAUUGGGUCUUGGAAUUAGUUGAUCACCACGACCACCAUCAAUCUUUCACCUUUCCUAACCAAAACCCUAUUUGAUCUGAACCCCAAAACUCUCUGUUUCCUUACUUUUUGUGUAGGGGGUCUAGUGCUUAAACCGUACCCAGUAAACCCACUAAGUCUAGUAGGGUUUUCUAGAAAUAUGGAGCUGAACCCUCUUCUGGGUCCUCCUCCGCUUGUUGUUUGAAUCCCUUUGAUCUCUUAUUGGUUCCGAGAGAGAGGUUCAGAGGGGGAAGAGGGCUGUCGGAUUUUGUUGUUGUGUAGAUUUAUGCAUGUAGGCGGGGGUAUAUGGCUUACCCACAACAACAACAACAACAACAACAGAAUCAACAACAACAGCAGCUGUUCAAUUCGCCGUUCGGGGACACGACGUUGACGAAGGUCUUCGUCGGAGGGCUGGCCUGGGAGACCCAGAGCGAGACGCUCCGCCGCCACUUCGAGCAGUACGGCGAUAUACUCGAGGCCGUCGUCAUCACCGAUAAGAACACCGCCCGAUCCAAAGGCUAUGGCUUUGUCACAUUUCGUGAUCCCGACUCUGCAAGAAGGGCCUGUGCGGACCCCAAUCCUGUUAUUGAUGGCCGCAGGGCUAACUGUAAUCUUGCUUCUCUAGGCCGCCCUCGCCCAUCAUUCCAUUUCCCCGGGCAACUGAGAUCACCAGCGCCAAUCCUCGGUCGUCUGCAAGCUCCAAGAGCUGCUUACGUGGGGAGUCCUGGUUAUCACCACCCUCUUUCUCAUGCUUAUCAGCCCGGGUUUGUUUACCCUUCUUAUGGGUACACAGCAUAUGGACCUGAAUAUGUCUACCCACAGCAGGGUGUCUAUAGUCCGUACAUGAAUCAGCAAUACCUUCAGAUGUAUGGUGUACCGGGGACAGUCAACCCCGGUGUAUAUCCUUACGGACAAGCGGGUCAUUCUCUUUCCGGCAAUCCUGCGUAUACGGCGGUUCAAAGCUAUGGAAUUCCAGGCCAUCAUAUAAUGCAAUUCACUGGGUCCAACGUCAGUGGAGCAUCACCAGUUGCCCUUCCCACAAUUCAAACACCAUAUCCUGCAGGUAUAGCUGCACCAGCUCCAGGACAGGCACAACUUUUACUUCCUACUAAUUCUCCUCAAUUCACCAGCAGUUCUGAUCAAACUGCAGGAUAAGUGGUAAAUCAGAAAAGUCACAUCUUGAGGUAAUCCUUAGAUUGCAGCAGGACUAAGAGAAGCUACUGCUACUUAAGUGGCAGGUUCUAAAUCUAGCCUUGCAAGUUAUUAUCUUUGCUUUCUAGAGGUCAUUCAUGAUGGUCAUCAGAGAUACCGCAAAGUCAGUCAGCUAUUAGAUGUCGAGUCAUUCUGAAGUGUACCCCUCCGAGUCAUGAGCCUGAGAGAGCAUGCGUGGAUUGCUCUUUCAGCUGGUGUCUGUAAAAUAUGCUGUUGUCCCUGCCCCGGCUCAAAGCCAUCGGCAUGUGAUGCGUCUACGACGAUUUGCUGGAUAUGGUUUCUGGCAAACCGUAUAAUAAGAAAACUACUGUAAAUUUGUAAAUAACCAAACUCCCCUACAUAUAUAUAUAUCUCCUGUAUCCAAGAAUCAAAGUCAAAAUAUGAUUUGUUGUCUGGACCCAAGAUAUGGGUUCCACACUCAAUUUCUAGUGCGCAUUGGCAUUGGUGUUGAUGGCUCACCUUGUAUUUACUCCCAGUGUGUUCCUCCUUACUGCAUAGCAGAAAGUCAUUGUUGAAUAUUGAAUUUGUCUAUUCAAUUGGCGUUUAUUCACUUC